GCUGACACAGAAAGGCAGUAAAGACUUGGUUGUAAACACGCAGAGCACAAUACAUACAUGCUGACACAGAAAGGCAGUAAAGACUUUGUUGUAAACACUAAGAGAUCCAUACAUCCAUGGGUAGUGCCACAGACGCAAAUUACGCCCACUAUUGUGAACAAGGUGCUUAAAGUGAACACGUCUGGUUUCUGUUAUGAGCACUUAGCACUCCGAAACCCAAAAGGCCUCGCAUUGAAUUGUUGCAAGAGAAGGCUUUGAAAAAUAACAGCAGUUUUGUUGUGUGGUCCAGUACGCCCUUCGACUCUAAACCUGAAGAAAGCAGAACUCAAACUCGGCUCUUACCAAUAUCAGCAAGGCCAGCAUAUCAUCUCAGCUUCUUGUGCUUCAGUGAACUUAACUAGCAAACAUGACAAACGUCAUUGACGUGAAAGUCGAUGACAACCUCCUUCUUGCACAAAUACUACAAUUGCUUAAGAAAUUCAGCACAAAGACGUCUUGCGUAAUACUACCAAGCCUCCUAUCAAUAUCUCCUCCCAUGUUGGGUACAUCAACACUUCCAACAGCAGAGCCUUGGUGAGUUCGACUUCCGUCUCAGCAUCGAUGUCGCUUAGCAACAAUUGGAUGAUGGGCUUCGACAAAUUAGGCCGGACAAGUCGCUCGAACUGAAACGAUCGUAUCCAAGAGGUAGAGCAGGCGUUGCGUGAUACGUCCGUUAAUGUGACUGACCUGGAUAUGUUGUUCUCUAAUAAAGGGAACCUUAGACCUGGAGAGCAGUAUGCGAUUGAAACCUUUCAACAACAGUUGUUGUCGGCAAUUCUCAGGUUUGGGGUGGCGACUUCAGCGUCAGGACUUGCUCCAUCUCUGUCUAUGGCCCAGUCGCAGCAGCAGCAACAAGAACAAUAAUUAGUAUCUUAGCGGUGUUCUGGGAUAUGCAGCUUCAUGUAUGUGCUUAAAUUGUCAUCCCAGAUUAGCCUGUGCAGACUGCACCUUCAUUAAGUUCUAUUAAAUUGUCAUCCCAGAUUAGCCUGUGCAGACUGCACCUACAUUAAGUUCUAUUAAAUUGUCAUCCCAGAUUAGCCUGUGCAGACUGCACAUACAUUGAGCCCUAUUAAAGUGUCAUCCCAUAUUAGCCUGUGCAGACUGCGCAUACUUUAAGCCCUAUUAAAGUGUCAUCUCAGAUUAGCCUGUGCAGACUGCACAUACAUUAAGUCCUAUUAAAGUGUCAUCCCAGAUUAGCCUGUGCAGACUGCACAUACAUUAAGUCCUAUUAAAGUGUCAUCCCAGAUUAGCCUGUGCAGACUGCACAUACAUUAAGCCCUAUUUUCCGAGAAUAAGGCUCAUAUACUACAGUUAACAUCAGUAUUUAAUGUGACUGAAAUGUUCCUAGCAUCAAAUGGGAAUAAUGUGCUUUUAAAUUGAUCACACUUAGUAAAUAAAUGCAAAUAGCACUUGAUCUAAUAUCAAUUUUAAUCAUAGAAGGUCAGGGCAUUAAGUUUUGUAUAUAUUCGACUGAAAUUCAGCCCCUGAACCAAUUGUUUAUCCUUGCAGAAAAAUCUGCUUUAAUAGAAUUGUUUAAUUAUAUUUAAUUUUAGUAAAAUAAUUAUGUAAAAGCCUUCAGCUCAUUUUAAAAUUAUUUUCUUCAUUUAUUUUCAAUAUUCAUUUAAAUUCCUGGAUUUUGUUUGAAGAGCCUGUUUUUACAGGCACCCAUGCAAUCAAAGAUCGGUACCUAGCUGAACAACAGGCUGUCUGGUCAGCUGGGCCCAGACGCCCAGUGACACUUCCUGGCCCAGAACCUUGGGGCAAAUGCUCAACUAGUCCUACCCGCAGGGUGGAGCCACACUGAACCUGCGGCUCCAUACUUUCUUGGCCAGGGGCCAAGAUAACCUCGUCAAUAAGGGACACAUUCCUGGGAUGCCCUAAGGUCUUUCUAUCUGUUCACAGAGGUCUUAUAAUCACAAGUUCAAGCCAAGUGAGCGAUGUUCACAUUAUCAAACUCUGCAUCUCAAUAGAAACCCGGAUAGCAAAGUGUUGGUUUGCUUUUGAAGCAUUUGAACCAGCAACAGUCAUCAUUCGAGUUUCUGGCAUGUCUAUGGUGUGGAACCCUCAGUCUAUGAACAUCAUAACAGCACAUGAACCAGCAGCAGUCAUCAUUCGAGUUUCUGACAUGUCUAUGGUGUGGAACCCUCAGUCUAUGAACAUCAUAACAGCACAUGAACCAGCAGCAGUCAUCAUCUCAAGAUUCUGGUAUAUCCAAGGUACAGAACACUCAGUCUAUGAAUAUCAUUACAGCACAUGAAACAGCAGCAGUCAUCAUCUCAAGAUUCUGGUAUAUCCAAGGUACAGGACCCUCAGUCUAUGAACAUCAUAACAGCACAUGCACCAGCAGCAGUCAUCGUCUCAAGAUUCUGGUAUAUCCAAGGUACAUGACCCUCAGUCUAUGAACAUCAUAACAGCACAUGAACCAGCAGCAGUAAUCAUUGGAGUUUCUGACAUGUCUAUGGUGUGGAACCCUCAGUCUAUGAACAUCAUAACAGCACAUGAAUCAGCAGCAGUCAUCAUCUCAAGAUUCUGGUAUAUCCAAGGUACAGGACCCUUAGUCUGUACAGAUCUUGCAGAACAAACUUCAGAUGCAAUUUGAGGAAAUGAAACCAUCCAAUCAGAAACACAGCCUGUUGCAGCAAUUGUUAACAUAUUGACCCCAGUCAAACCUAAGAAGCUCAGAGUUACAUACUGUUUUAGAUGUGCUAGUCUUCACAUACCUUCUGGUUUGUUCAACACUUCCUCUGAAUCUUUGAAUGUUAUGACGGGUGAAAAUGAAUGACCUUGUUCAGAUCGAAAUGGCAGAAUGACACAUCACAACAAUUCAAGUGGAAAGCCACAAAGUCAUGUCAACAGCCACAUGUUGUAUGUUGCCAGCCAAGUUGUGUUAAAAAAUACAAUAGCUUACGUUUUAUGUUAUAUGUGACCAACCAUGUUAUAUUCAUACAAAAACAAUACUUUAUGUUUUAUGGGAAUUGUUAUGCUGUCAGUCUUUACGUUGAAAUAUUGUGUUCAAUAUAGCAUGUUAAGUAUUUUAAAAGCACGCAUAUUGCACGUUUAUGCAAUCUCUUUGUCUAUAUUAUGAUAUCACUACAUAUUGUGAUCCUGAUAAUGGUAAACUAAUGGGAAAUACACUUUUAUCAAAGACUUUCAAAGUGUGACAAAGCUGUUUUAAUGAGGCUGGUAACUUGGACAACAUUUAAAAAAUAUUGGAGUAUUUUCAUGUUAUAAAACAUGUUUCAGUUUUCAGUUUUUUACCCAUAUUAUAGAUAAGCUAGAUAAAAGUAGUGUUAAGAAAGGUUUAGAAGUUUUACGCUUCAGCUUUUUCUGUUUAUCAAUCUUUCUAAAAACAAUACUUAAAAUAUCCAUUAAAAAUCAAGAAUAAAAUUCAAAAAAUGAAAAAAAAAGUAACUCUCAUUAAGGCUCGAACCAAGGACCCUUGGAG